GUCAAUGAUGAAAACUGGAGUAGGAAGUGCCGUCCGAUGCGACAACUGACGAUUGUUUCUAAUCCAUUUUCUGAGA